GACGAACGCUGGCGGCGUGCCUAAUACAUGCAAGUCGAACGAACCGCGACUGAGUGCUUGCACUUGGUUAAGGUGAGUGGCGAACGGGUGAGUAACACGUGGGUAACCUACCUCAUAGUGGGGGAUAACAGUCGGAAACGACUGCUAAUACCGCAUAGGACAUGGAAUCACAUGAUUCCGUGAGGAAAGGUGGCGCAAGCUAUCGCUAAGAGAUGGACCCGCGGUGCAUUAGCUAGUUGGUAGGGUAACGGCCUACCAAGGCGAUGAUGCAUAGCCGACCUGAGAGGGUGAUCGGCCACAUUGGGACUGAGACACGGCCCAAACUCCUACGGGAGGCAGCAGUAGGGAAUCUUCCGCAAUGGACGCAAGUCUGACGGAGCAACGCCGCGUGAGUGAAGAAGGUCUUCGGAUCGUAAAGCUCUGUUGUUAGAGAAGAACAGCGCAUAGAGUAACUGUUAUGCGUGUGACGGUAUCUAACCAGAAAGCCACGGCUAACUACGUGCCAGCAGCCGCGGUAAUACGUAGGUGGCGAGCGUUGUCCGGAUUUAUUGGGCGUAAAGGGAGUGUAGGCGGUCUUUUAAGUCUGAUGUGAAAGCCCACGGCUCAACCGUGGAGGGUCAUUGGAAACUGGGAGACUUGAGUGCAGAAGAGGAGAGCGGAAUUCCAUGUGUAGCGGUGAAAUGCGUAGAUAUAUGGAGGAACACCAGUGGCGAAGGCGGCUCUCUGGUCUGUAACUGACGCUGAGGCUCGAAAGCGUGGGGAGCAAACAGG
rnacentral:rRNA from 1 species